AUGAACGCUGGCGGCGUGCCUAAUACAUGCAAGUCGAGCGAACAGACGAGGAGCUUGCUCCUCUGACGUUAGCGGCGGACGGGUGAGUAACACGUGGAUAACCUACCUAUAAGACUGGGAUAACUUCGGGAAACCGGAGCUAAUACCGGAUAAUAUAUUGAACCGCAUGGUUCAAUAGUGAAAGACGGUUUUGCUGUCACUUUUAGAUGGAUCCGCGCCGCAUUAGCUAGUUGGUAAGGUAACGGCUUACCAAGGCAACGAUGCGUAGCCGACCUGAGAGGGUGAUCGGCCACACUGGAACUGAGACACGGUCCAGACUCCUACGGGAGGCAGCAGUAGGGAAUCUUCCGCAAUGGGCGAAAGCCUGACGGAGCAACGCCGCGUGAGUGAUGAAGGUCUUCGGAUCGUAAAACUCUGUUAUUAGGGAAGAACAAAUGUGUAAGUAACUAUGCACGUCUUGACGGUACCUAAUCAGAAAGCCACGGCUAACUACGUG
rnacentral:rRNA from 1 species